UUUUCAAUACCACAGACACAAACUCUACAUUUCAGUGAUUAUUGCCUUUUCCCGUUGGAAAUUUAACCGAAUGAGCGAGUUAUUACAACGCUGACGUUAUCGCAUCGUCCGGUUCCAUUCCGUCCCGUCACCAAGCAAGCACGUGCACCGAUGUAGCAACUCGGAGACGAGGACCGCCUUGCGUAAAUAAUACAUCGUUUCCUAGACUCUGAACUAAAACUCCAGGCAUAUAAUUGCUAAAACCAUCUCUUCUGGUCUCUCUUUUUGUACUAAUUUCUAUAUCGUGUCCUCAACAGUUGUGUUGGAGAGGCAGGUCUUUAUAGCAGGAUCGCGUGACGGGAUUACUUAAAGUUUUACCCCACUCCUCCUCUCUCUCAGUUUGUACGUAAUGGAGAAAUAGAAACGCUGACCUUCUCACGAUAUGCUUCAAAUAUUCAUUUUCAAACGGCGCUGUCUAUUUCUUUAUUUAUCCGUUUAUUUAACUGUCCAUCUGUCAUUCCGUCGAUCUACCUAAGAAGAAAAUGAAACGCUUGACUUUUUGAUGAAUAUUAACUUUGGUUAUAAAUGUGUACUAAUUAAUUAUUUUCUGUGAGAGUCAAACAUUUAAUGGAUAUGGUUGUUUUACGUCUCGUUUUUUAUUAUUCUCCCUGGAACUUUGCAUUCUACACUCGCGGUAUGAUUCCACAGAUGAAGUGAAAGGGUUCCGUAACACUAUUAGUGAUAGUCGUAUUUUAGAAACACGACGUAAGCACGAAAAAUUACAAACGCUACUAUACGCAAUUGUCACCAAUAUCUUAGCAUGCUAGCUGUUAGAAUUCGAAGACUUGAAUUUAACCGGUUGAUGUCUGGCGAGUAGUCGUACCCUGAAGAUUUUUCUACCCCAGCUGAGCUGAGAGCAACGCGUGGUUUCUUGUGGCUUGGGGAGCGAAAUACCCCACGGUACUAAACCAAGAUUGAAGAUGGAUGGCGACAGUGAAAGCGAGAUAAUUAGACAGAUAUUGGUUGACUGUCCCAGUGAUAGUGAACCUGAGGACGAUAGUGAGAAUGAAUAUGAUAAGCUUGAAGACUGUUAGAUCACACUGUUCAGAUCAGAGUGCUUUUAUUGUCAAACAAUGGUAUCAGAUAUAAAAGAUUCUGAGUAAGCAGUUAGGUUAGAUUAAAUGUAAGGCAUUUUCAUUGAUGUUGGCCAACAAAUGAUGUUUUUAGUAUAAAACAAUUCAUAGGAAGAUGUUUAGAUAAAAUAUAAUUUUACUUUUUUAAUCAUGUAAUUCUUGUAAAUAAAGCGAUAUCAAGCAUCAAUA